rnacentral:rRNA from 1 species
GACGAACGCUGGCGGCGUGCUUAACACAUGCAAGUCGAACGGGAACCUUUAUUUCGGUAAAGGUGAGAGUGGCAAACGGGUGAGUAACACGUAGGCAACCUGCCGACAGGAUGGGGACAACAUUCCGAAAGGAAUGCUAAUACCGAAUGAAGUCACCGGAGGGCAUCCUCUGGUGAUAAAAGAUGGCCUCUGAAUAUGCUAUCGCCUGUCGAUGGGCCUGCGUCUGAUUAGCCAGUUGGCGGGGUAACGGCCCACCAAAGCGACGAUCAGUAGCCGGUCUGAGAGGAUGAACGGCCACAUUGGGACUGAGACACGGCCCAGACUCCUACGGGAGGCAGCAGUGGGGAAUCUUCCACAAUGGGCGAAAGCCUGAUGGAGCAACGCCGCGUGAGUGAAGAAGGUCUUCGGAUCGUAAAGCUCUGUUGCACGGGACGAAAACCGAGCUUGAGAAUAUUGAG